UGGCUGAAAGUCCAGAAAUUAACUCAAGUCCUGGAACAUGUCCUGGGACACUCCCCCGGAACGAUUGUUCAAGUCCUGGAGUACGUUUCGGAACGCUGCUCCCGGAACACCGCUCCUGGAGCGAUUGUUUCAAUGUUGCUUGCUCGGAAUGGCCCUCCUGAGCAAACAACAGACGGUGCUCAAAGUAACAACUGGACUUAAUAAAAGGAGCUUACACGAAGGAGGAGCUGAAGGCUGCUGUGGUCGUGUGCUGGGGGCUGCCCCAGCUCCAGCUGCAGGACCCCGGCCGUCUGCCUUCCGACUCCGGUGAUGAUUCUUCCUGCGGUCUGAUCAAGAUUCUAUGCAGUUAACUUUGUAUCCAAGGAUCUAUAGCCAAGAAAUUUGGAGCUCAGUUUCAAACGACUAUGCUCUCCACACACCAUCGUUUGAAACAUUAGGAAAAAUACUGUUGGUAUAGCCUGUGUAUGAAACACAAUGAAGUUUUCCAAAGACACUUUCGCCUGAACAAAAUUUGACCCCUGUCAGUGAGAUGUCAGCACUAUAUGUCAAAUGAACUACAGGGGAAGCUUCUAAUAUAAAUAUGUUAUUGAAGACAAAGUCACUGGGCUCUUUGCAGCAGGGUCAGCUGAACCCAGGAAAUAUGUCCUACAUUUUAUCUGAAGAUCAGCAUAGAACGGCAGCCCCUGCUCCAUCUGUGAAAGGUUAAAGUGAUGUUCUUGCAGAUGCAAAGAGGCAGAGUGCAAGUUUGGCAGGAAGAAGGGUGACACUGCAAAAAAUGUCAUUUAAAAUGGGGUUGAAGGAUGUCCAGUAACUUCUAGACAGUUGCUUCUCCUGGUAUUAGGAGAUGAUUAUUCACUUUGCAGCAGAUUCCAACUGUUUCAUAUUCAGUAGAUCAGCAUGCUUCAGAAUCCUGCAUUGAUUAUAAUAAUUCCAAUUCUGUUAGCUUUUUUCGAGGGCUUACUCUGUGCUAUAACAAUCAGCUGAAUGAGGCAUUAUGUCACUAAUCCUAAAACAGCACCAGGAGACCCUUUAAUUUUUUUUCUAAUGCAUAUUAAUCUACCCACGUUAGUCCAUCUCUGCUAAAAACACCAGCCAGCAUUGUCUCUCUCUUAAAGUAUUUCAGUAACAUCAAGGUAGCUCUCCUUGUUUUCAUUCUUAUACCUUAAUCAUUUCUCUAUACAGCAAAGAGAUGGAUAUUUUUAUGGUCAUGAUAUAUCCUUGUGUGAUCUGUGCCCUGCCUACUCUAUCAGCUUAAUUUCAUAUCACUCUCCCCUCAAUUUCUGUGUUCUAGUUGUAUUAGUCUUUUUCUUUUUGUAGUUUCUUGACUAUUUCUUGUCUCUUCAUCACUUACACAUAUUUUCCUACAGAAGAAAGAUUUCUAUACCUAUCUCUUCUCCCUGCCCCUGGAAAACUCUAUUCUUCUUUGUCCCAAAUCUCAUUAGACACUUUUUAAAACCAUAUGCUCCUUCUUACUCGCAUUUAGAAUAACUGCAUUUCAACAGUCCUUGGACAAUUAAUUUGUUUUCAUCUCUGAUGCACAAGAAUGCAAGCUUUGAAAGGGCAGAGAACACAUCUUUUUGUUAAUUUCUUACUUCCUUAGCAAGCCAUUGUAUCACCUACACAUAAUUAGCACUAAAUAUAAGUAUUCAAAUAAAUGAAAGGCCCUUUAUGCUUAUAAUAUUAGGAAAAAUUGACGUUUUGAAUGAGAAGGAUCACUUUUACAGAGAAGAUAACACAUAAAAACAGGUAAAAGAUAGUCUUUGGAGGAACAUCAUCAUAAUUUUUGGGCCAAUACUAGGUAAUAAUAAUGACUCCCAGAGAGGGUGACCAUGGAAAGUAGCAGGAACUUACAAGCAGAACUGAGAGUCAUUAUAUAUAUGUAUACACAUAUAUAUGUGUGUAUAUAUAUACACACAUAUGUGUGUGUGUGUGUGUAUAUAUAUAUAUACAC
rnacentral:lncRNA from 10 species